UUCACACAUGUGUAAAAUAUACAAGUCAUGACUUCCUGUUUUUCCUCUUCCCUCACAAAAUCCCCCAUACACAAUGAUGCAGUGUCUGUUUUUCUGUUUUUCUUCUCCACGCUGCGCUGAAUAAUUUAAUCACUUAACAGAAACCGCGCUGUUCCCGUCUCGGCGGCGCAGGGUAAAUUAUAGCCGAGCAGGUGGAGAGCAGCCAUUACUGUACGGCCUUAUGAAGACAUGCGUCGUUGAGACCUCGUCAUUGUCGAAGCUCAGUGGAGUGAAGUAUUACAUGUCCUCUCAAGUGCAUGUAGUCUAAGACAUCGAGACAAGCCUCCUGCCUCCUCCAACCGCCGGCUGGAGUACAGUCCACACGGACUUCUAACGCCGGGAUCGAGCUGCACAGAUUCAGGGCGAUUUUCAAGUGACUUGUUCCAGUGUCACACCUAAUUAUGAACAGACUAUGUUCCUUUUUCCUGCCUCGUCUGACAUCUCCCACGACGCCGAGCAAGACGCGGCAUGAAUCAGUGCCACUGUGAUUGAUAAUCUGACACGGUGACCAUCGUGAAAGACAUAACUACUGUGUAGACUAACAUCAUCAUGUCAACACUGUUGUCACACUGCUUUAUGACUACAUUUAAAUGUGCGCUUUGGUCUAAAUAAAGAGACUGUAAUGACUUCAUUUUUCUGAAAA